rnacentral:piRNA from 6 species
UUGGCUAAGAUCAAGUGUAGUAUCUG